rnacentral:rRNA from 1 species
UACGGAGGGUGCGAGCGUUGUCCGGAAUCACUGGGCGUAAAGGGCGCGUCGGUGGCGCGGGCAGUCAACGGUGAAAGUUCGGGGCUCAACCCUGAAUCGGCCGUCGAUACUCCCGGGCUUGAGCACUGUAGAGGCAGAUGGAAUUCCGGGUGUAGCGGUGGAAUGCGUAGAGAUCCGGAAGAACACCGGUGGCGAAGGCGGUCUGCUGGGCAGUUGCUGACACUGAGGCGCGACAGCGUGGGGAGCAAACAGG